rnacentral:lncRNA from 10 species
UGGUUAUCACGUUCGCCUAACACGCGAAAGGUCCGCGGUUCGAAACCGGGCGGAAACAGGUAGGCUUAUGAUAUUCUUGGUUGCUGCUUAGUUUCUAUUCCUUCUUACGCACGAACCAGUUUGCGGUUCUGGACUUUAAAAAUACGCAGUUCUGAGCUCAAUUUGUGGUCCAGAAGUCUAAGAUGAAAGAUUUCUCACGCCACUGACACAGAAGCCCGUGUCACCCCACCUCCUCUCGCCCCAGUAAGUUUCCCAUCGCUUUUCCUCCUCUUCUGGGCUUCAGAACCCUAGGAGGUGUCAAUCCCAGGAGACGCCCACGGCCCAGGACUCGGCCUACGCAGCUCAGGUGAGACUGGCUUCCUUGGAAUUCCAUCUUAGAUUUCUGGA